rnacentral:rRNA from 1 species
AUGCAUUGGUAUUCUUGGUGGAAGCUAUGUUUCCCAAAGAGUGAAGGUGGGAUGGGAUUUCGAGAUUUAUAUUCGUUUAAUCUUGCUCUCUUAGCGAAACAGUGCUGGAGAUUGAUAACGAACCCGGACUCGCUUUGUGCUAGGAUUUUAAAGGCAAAGUAUUACCCAAAUUGUGAUAUUCUCCUAGCAGGGCCGAAAAAGGGAUCUUCCUUCACUUGGCAGAGUAUCAUUGCGGGG